rnacentral:rRNA from 1 species
UACGGAGGAUGCAAGCGUUAUCCGGAAUUAUUGGGCGUAAAGAGCUCGUAGGCGGUGUGUCGCGUCGGCCGUGAAAACCUGCAGCUUAACUGUGGGCUUGCGGUCGAUACGGGCAUCACUGGAGUUCGGCAGGGGAGACUGGAAUUCCUGGUGUAGCGGUGAAAUGCGCAGAUAUCAGGAGGAACACCUGUGGCGAAGGCGGCCCCCUGGUUGGAUACUGACGCUGAGACGCGAAAGCGUGGGGAGCAAACAGG